UUUCCUACGGGAGGCAGCAGUGGGGGAUAUGGCACAAUGGGGGAAACCCUGAUGCAGCGACGCCGCGUGUGGGAAGACGGUCCUCUGGAUUGUAAACCACUGUCCCCAGGGACGAAGAUGACGGUACCUGAGUAAGAAGCACCGGCUAAAUACGUGCCAGCAGCCGCGGUAAUACGUAUGGUGCAAGCGUUAUCCGGAUUUACUGGGUGUAAAGGGAGCGCAGGCGGCACGGCAAGCCUGAUGUGAAAGCCCGCGGCCCAACCGCGGGACUGCAUUGGGAACUACCGGGCUGGAGUGCCGGAGAG
rnacentral:rRNA from 1 species